rnacentral:lncRNA from 1 species
ACAAAGGGAGCAUAUUGUAGCUCCAUGAUGUGCAUUUUCGGAGAAUCCAACUGUAUACAGAAUGUUAGUGUUGAAGAAUGAAAAAUUACUGGCCUCUUGUAAGAACAUGAACUUUUUACCUCGGAGCCCACCCCCUCCCAUCUAGAAAACAUUUUUGAGAUAAAGGCUUCCUGGAACAACCUCAAAAUGAACCAGGCCGGUCUCAGGUUCUGGGGCCUUCCCAUGGAGACAGGUCCAUUUGGAUUGGUCAUAGUGACAGUAAGCUUCUCUGGAAAUCGCAUGUAAGAUGCCCUGUAUUGGUCUUGCUUGUGUUUGUCAUUUCUGUGGUACUGUGAUUCUAUAGUGGUUGCCUGAAAAACGGUUUCUGUGUGUGUCUUGUGUGUCUCUUUGUGUUCGGACUUGGACUGAUGACUGACGACUGUUUUUUAGUUAUGCCUUCUGAAAUAAGCCUAAAAAUCCUGUCAGAUCCCUAUGCUGACCACUUCCUUUCAGAUCAACAGCUGCCCUGCCUCCCACUCCAACUCCAGAGAGCAGCCAGCGGGUCACAGUGGUCCCGCCCAUGGACCUGGAGCCUAGGGAAAAAUGAGCUCGGAAAUCCGGAGCAAAUGAGGAGUGGUCCCUGAGAAGUCAGUGGCCCUGGAUGUUGUGGCUGCUGAAAAAAAAAAAAAAAGAAGAGGAGGCUGUUCGAGUAGCGGCCAAGAGCGCUGCAGGUUCCCAGGCAGCUUCUCAUUCCCCUGUCCC